rnacentral:misc_RNA from 1 species
GUUUAUCUAUGCCUUUAUGACAUAAAUCCUUAAUACCAUUAUAGUAUUAUGAGAAAACGGUAGUUGCUAGUAAACUCAAUUCUAUUAAGAUUGUAUAAAUUGCAUGUUUAGAAAAUGUUAUCUAAGGAGGUGACACUUAAGUGAGACCGAUCAGACUCCACCAUCUUUCUUGAGCAUUACUUAGUGUACUUUAUGCAAUUUCAAUAGAUGAUCUUUCGUCUCACACCACAUGAUCUACAUUUUAUCAAAAUAAAAACUAAUAAAAUAUCUUGUUCUGACUAGAACACACGUGGUCUCACCAAGAUUGUUCCUAAGUGAUGUGGGAUCAUAACAUAGUAUAAUGAAAGAGGAAAUAUUUUUUUCAAAAAAAAAACUCCAAUAAAUUUUAAAAAAUAAAAAAAAUUAAAAAUUAAAAAAGA